rnacentral:rRNA from 1 species
UGAGUAACGCGUGGGGAAUCUGCCUUUGAGCGGGGGACUUCAUUUGGAAACGAAUGCUAAUACCGCAUAAAAACUUUAAACACAAGUUUUAAGUUUGAAAGAUGCAAUUGCAUCACUCAAAGAUGAUCCCGCGUUGUAUUAGCUAGUUGGGGAGGUAAAGGCUCACCAAGGCGAUGAUACAUAGCCGACCUGAGAGGGUGAUCGGCCACAUUGGGACUGAGACACGGCCCAAACUCCUACGGGAGGCAGCAGUAGGGAAUCUUCGGCAAUGGACGAAAGUCUGACCGAGCAACGCCGCGUGAGUGAAGAAGGUUUUCGGAUCGUAAAACUCUGUUGGUAGAGAAGAACGUUGGUGAGAGUGGAAAGCUCAUCAAGUGACGGUAACUACCCAGAAAGGGACGGCUAACUACGUGCCAGCAGCCGCGGUAAUACGUAGGUCCCGAGCGUUGUCCGGAUUUAUUGGGCGUAAAGCGAGCGCAGGUGGUUUAUUAAGUCUGGUGUAAAAGGCAGUGGCUCAACCAUUGUAUGCAUUGGAAACUGGUAGACUUGAGUGCAAGAGAGGAGAGUGGAAUUCCAUGUGUAGCGGUGAAAUGCGUAGAUAUAUGGAGGAACACCGGUGGCGAAAGCGGCUCUCUUGGCCUGUAACUGACACUGAGGCUCG